GAUGAACGCUAGCUACAGGCUUAACACAUGCAAGUCGAGGGGAAACGAUAGGGAAAGCUUGCUCUUUCUAGGCGUCGACCGGCGCACGGGUGAGUAACGCGUAUCCAACCUGCCCAUCACUUGGGGAUAACCUUGCGAAAGUAAGACUAAUACCCAAUGACGUCUCUAGAAGACAUAUGAAGGAGAUUAAAGAUUUAUCGGUGAUGGAUGGGGAUGCGUCUGAUUAGCUUGUUGGCGGGGUAACGGCCCACCAAGGCGACGAUCAGUAGGGGUUCUGAGAGGAAGGUCCCCCACGUUGGAACUGAGACAAGGUCCAAACUCCUACGGGAAGCAGCAGUGAGGAAUAUUGGUCAAUGGACGAGAGUCUGAACCAGCAAAGUAGCGUGCAGGAAGACGGCCCUAUGGGUUGUAAACUGCUUUUAUAAGGGAAUAAAGUGAGUCUCGUGAGACUUUUUGCAUGUACCUUAUGAAUAAGGACCGGCUAAUUCCGUGCCAGCCGCCGCCGUAA
rnacentral:rRNA from 1 species